rnacentral:rRNA from 1 species
ACGCUGGCGGCAUGCCUAACACAUGCAAGUCGAACGAAGUCUUCGGACUUAGUGGCGCACGGGUGCGUAACGCGUGGGAAUCUGCCCUUGGGUGCGGAAUAACUUCUCGAAAGGGAUGCUAAUACCGCAUAAUGUCGUAAGACCAAAGAUUUAUCGCCCAAGGAUGAGCCCGCGUAAGAUUAGCUAGUUGGUGGGGUAAAAGCCUACCAAGGCGACGAUCUUUAGCUGGUCUGAGAGGAUGAUCAGCCACACUGGGACUGAGACACGGCCCAGACUCCUACGGGAGGCAGCAGUGGGGAAUAUUGGACAAUGGGCGAAAGCCUGAUCCAGCAAUGCCGCGUGAGUGAUGAAGGCCCUAGGGUUGUAAAGCUCUUUUACCAGGGAUGAUAAUGACAGUACCUGGAGAAUAAGCUCCGGCUAACUCCGUG